rnacentral:misc_RNA from 1 species
UUUCCGUAGGUGAACCUGCGGAAGGAUCAUUACAGAGUUCAUGCCCUCACGGGUAGAUCUCCCACCCUUGAAUAUUUAUACCUUAGUUGCUUUGGCAGGCCGUGGAAACACCAUGGGCUCCGGCUUAUGCGUGCCUGCCAGAGGAAACAAACUCUGUUUUUAGUGAUGUCUGAGUACUAUAUGAUAGUUAAAACUUUCAACAACGGAUCUCUUGGUUCUG